rnacentral:lncRNA from 1 species
GGGAACUAAACAAGUGAUCAUUUUAACUUGCUUAAGGAAUGAAGGUCUGAUCAGUGAAAAUCUAGGUGGGAUCCCAAAGCCCAAGUUUUCCCUAUGAAGCUGGACUGGUCCCCACGAUGGGAAUGUAAGAGGGGCCUGGCUGUUCACACAAGAGCAUGGCACGUUAUUUCCUUCCAAAUUCAAUAACACCAGAGUUAUGACAUUUGCCAUCAGAGUCACACAGUCUCCUGUCCUGUGGAGACUUUGUCCAGCUUGUUGGGCCUGGGUUUAAAUUUUCCUGUGACACCCAUAAGGAGAGACCAAGGGCUGUGCACUGGGAAUCCCAGCUGGUCAAACUGCUCCUCAAAAGGGACUUCAUUAAAAGUCAUCUGCAUAACACGGCCCCUCCCCAUCCCCAGGCAGCCACGGCCACUACUCUGGAGAGGGUGUCGGCUGCCCAGGUGUUCCAUGGAGAUGGGGUCUGAGACACACUCCCUAUAGGAGACAGCGACAGAGGUGGGGUCAGCACACAAGUCCCCGAAAGCAAUAACACAAAGCCAGCAGGUCAGGGAGAGGGCAAGUGAGUGACCGUCUACAUGGUCAGGGGGAGGGCGAGUGAGUGACCAUCUGCAGGAUCAGGGAGAGGGCGAGUGAGUGACCGUCUACAUGGUCAGGGAGAGGGCGAGUUAGUGACCAUCUACAUGGUCAGGGAGAGGGCAAGUGAGUGACCGUCUACAUGGUUAGGGGGAGGGCGAAUGAGUGACCGUCUACAGGGUCAGGGAGAGGGAGAGUGAGUGACCGUCUACAUGAUCAGGGAGAGGGCGUGUGAGUGACCGUCGACAGGAUCAGGGAGAGGGCGUGUGAGUGACCGUCCACACGGUCAGGGAGAGGGCGAGUGAGUGACCGUCCACACGGUCAGGGAGAGGGCGAGUGAGUGACCGUCUACACGGUCAGGGAGAGGGCGAGUGACCGUCUACUCGGUCAGGGAGAGGGCGAGUGAGUGACCGUCUACACGGUCAGGGAGAGGGCGAGUGAGUGACCGUCUACUCGGUCAGGGAGAGGGCGAGUGAGUGACCGUCUACACGGUCAGGGAGAAGGAGUGUGAGUGACUGUCCACAGGGUCAGGGAGAGGGCGAGUGAGUGACCGUCUACACGGUCAGGGAGAGGGCGAGUGAGUGACCGUCUACUCGGUCAGGGAGAGGGCGAGUGAGUGACCGU